UACAGAGGGUGCGAGCGUUAAUCGGAAUUACUGGGCGUAAAGGGCUCGUAGGUGGCCAACUAAGUCAGACGCGAAAUCCCUCGGCUUAACCGGGGAAUGGCGUCUGAUACUGGAUGGCUUGAGUUCGGGAGAGGGAUGCGGAAUUCCAGGUGUAGCGGUGAAAUGCGUAGAUAUCAGGAGGAACACCUGCGGUGUAGACGGCUUACUGGACCAUAACUGACGCUGAGGCACGAAAGCGUGGGUAGCAAACAGG
rnacentral:rRNA from 1 species